rnacentral:sRNA from 1 species
GCUGGGUGUGGUGGCACAUGCCUGUAAUCCCAGUGACUUGGGAGCUGAGGCAGGAGGAUCACAAGUUUGAAGCCAGCUUCAG